rnacentral:lncRNA from 1 species
CCCGCCCCCGCCCCCCAGUUCUUUCUUGGUGUCUGGAGCCAGCCUGUAGGUGACAUGCAGGAUAGGAUGUGCCUCUGGAAUAUCUCAGGGACCUCUCAGCAGGUAGCAGUGUGGGCCUCUCAGCAGGUAGCAGUGUCAUGGAGGAGAGCAGCAGCAGGUGACAGAACAAUAGAGCCAUCUAGGUCUGAAGGCUCCUCCCCAGGUGGUCUCAUUCUCAGUGGCAGCAAGGUUCGCAUCAGCCCAUUUCUGGCUGGGGGAGGCUACACAUAAGGACCUUGGAAGAAGGAAGAUUAGCUCUCUUCUUUUCCUGCUUGCCUUGUGGGCUACUGCUAGACCUGCUGCUGACCAUUGUUGGGGAGUUGGACAACAGACUGAGCCCACCCACGUGGCUUCCGACUCUGGCUGUGGCGGCACACAAUGGCGGCAGGUGGGAGCCAUCCUCGGGCUGGCAACGUAGAAGACACCUCCCGGCUCGUCUUUCCCAAAGAGUUUGAAACUGUUGAGACUCUCCUAAACUCUGAAGUUCACACGCUUUUGGAGCAUCGAAAGCAGCAGAAUGAGAGAGAGGGCAGAGAACGAACAGCUUUCAAGGUCUUCAUGAAAACCCUGAACUACCACAGCCUGUUUCAGCUGAUUCAGAAACAUGCAGGAAUGUUGCUUCAGAAGACACUGGGACUUCUGUCGUAGUUUUUGCUUUUCUGAGAGAGAAUGUCUCUCCAGUUCUGAAUUAUAACAGUCCUCCUGCCUCAGCCUCCUAAGUGCCAGGAUUUUGGGAGAGGAAAGGAAAGCUGGCUGUUGCUGCUCUAUGUGCUCUCUAUCUUCACAGUGACGGUUAGACCAUAAUUACCAUCUGUUCUAGUCGUAGCCUUGUACGGGCUGCUAUGGUCAAGCGUGCUGUGAUCCUGAGAAAGCGCUCUUGGUCCUUGAUCCCCCAUUGCUUGCCCCUCCUUGGCCUCCAUCAUGACGCUUGUUCAAAACCCACUGUCUCUGGAUUUCCUCAUUCAGACUUCAGACUCAUCCCCACCCCCCACGGGGGCAGGCUGCCAGUGCCCGGCUGCCCGUGCCUGUUCCCUAGCCAGCACGGCCAGG